UAUAUUUUGUAUACUUUUGUAGUUAGGUCAAUUGUGUAAAUAGGCUAUUCCUGUAAUUAGGCUAUGUCAUGUAAAUAGGCCACAUAUGUAAAGGGGUAAUUUGAUAUAAGGGGUCAGGGGUCGUUUGUCUGUACCGAGGCACUCAUUUUAUCAGAGAUAUUUUUACAGUCUCUUAUUCGAGACUCUUCGAUCCUCUCCCUUCUCUCUACUUUCUCUUUUUAGGCUAUGUUUUCACCGUAUGCCAAGUUAAGGUUGUUGCUGUGCAAGUGUUUAUUCCAAUACUGAGGCGAGGAUGAGGAUGACCGGAUGAGGAUGGAAUAACCGUAGCUCGUGG
rnacentral:lncRNA from 1 species